rnacentral:lncRNA from 1 species
GAACCCGAAACCUCUAAUUAAGGAUAGAAUUGUUCAACCACUACACCACAACCAAUGUUGAUAUAUAGUUGCUUGAGUUAUCAUUAUCCUAUAUUGAUGUUACAUCUUAAUUUGUGGAAACUAACUUCAGACAAGUAGUAUGUAAUUUCUUCCAACACAUGAUUGAGAUGCCUAUAUAGACUUAAAUUUACUUGACUAUUUGUAUCCAUUAAUGACCAAAGUUAGGUUGUUUCGAUUCCAUUAAAUUUUUUAACUAUAUGUUACUCUGACAAUCUCAUAUUAGUUGUCUUUUUAUUGAGCCGGGGACAUGCACAAUCCAAAUACACAUCAAAAUAUCUAUAUCACACACAUCAAAAUCUCCCUCCCUCCCCCCAUAAAAUUCAUAAUAGUUCAGAUAUAUUUUUUCUUGACCCCUAUUGUUAUAGGAAGACAAAAUACUACAAAGACUUCAAGUCAAUGAGUUGUGUAGAUCCGUCCAAAAAAAAAUUUUUACUCAUUUUUCACAUCUCCUACCCUACCCCCUACCUUACCCUACCCCUACCUAAUCCUACCCACUUUCUUACACACCCACCUAACACUCAUCCUCACCAUUGACCAAAAAACAAUACACAUACAUGCCAUUUUCUUUGAUAUUGUUCGCAACACACACAACGCACCAAGAGCACACACUACUGAUUCACGAGAAAUGCACUCACACACUCAUGGAUUGAGGAUAUACACUUAAAAAUUAGGUGAAAGAGGUGGGUGAGGACAGAUCUACCAUCGCACAGACGCACACCCAUCGAUUUUUUAUGCAAGAAAGGUCGAUUCAAAUGGUUAAGGAAGGGAAACGGGUAAGAAUUGCUUGAACAUGGUCAGAAACAGUGUCGCCGGUGAGAAUUUGGUAGUAGUUUGUGUAUCUCCGGCAAAAUUUUCGUCGGAAUCGUCAUCAGCUGGUCGAUUUGACUGGUCCAGUCACGAACACCUCCCUAAAUCUCUUCGUUUUCUUCAUGUUUAAAUUCAACCUUGCUGAAAAAUGUCAAGAGUCGCUAAAAUCCACCCCAUCCCAUUGAUAUUCGUCACACCGGAGUUCGUCAAAGUUUCAGCCGUAUAGUUUCGGUUCCUUCAUUAAUUUUGGUUUUUGGUCACUCAUUGUCCUUAAUAGUUUUCUGCGUUUCUAAUCGAAUUUCGAAAGGUCUUGUUGAAGUUGGCUCAUAGACGAGUGGUGGUAUUCUUCGAGGUUUUCAAAACGGCCCUUAUAUCUCUUAUUAAGUCAAUCGAAAGCUAUUGAGGUCCAGUUCUUCUCUCAUUCUCUAUUUUUAUCUCGAAUUUUGAUUGUUCUUGCGGAUGUGAAUGUUUUUGGUGUGCUUAUCAUGCUUGAAUCUUUACUGUGUGUUUAGUUGAUAUUGGUUGAUGUUGAAUUUGGGCGCGAGUAAUUGAAUUGAUAAUUGAAGCAUGUGUUAAUCAUUGGUUGAGAAUGAAUUCGGGGGUGGAACUGGAAAUUGAUAGAAGAGGGAAUUUAGAUUAACUUUGGUUUAUUAUUGUUUAAUUUGGAGUGAGCAUGAAUAUUAUUGAAACAGAUAGGCAAAUGUAGGUUCGGGUAGGCGAAAUUUAAGAAUUGUGCUUUUGUUGAAUGCGGAAUGUGUGUUGAAUGUUUUCUAGUUUAUCGAAUUUGAUUCAAGUGUAUUUAUUUGGCCAAGGAAUGCCCCGAGGCCUUCAUGUUCAUUUGCCAGGGAAUGCCCCGAAGUACUUAUGUUCAUUCACCGAGGAUGCCCCGAUGUAUUAUGUCUUCAAAGGAGGUUCGUGAUGAAGGCUCGAGGCAUUGGGUAAAGCAACAGAGUUUAGCCUAGGACUAGUUUAGAAUAUGAUUUGUAUUUUCGCACUUUUCUGUUUCAGUUUGUAAUAAUUGGACUGGACAUUAUGAUUUUGGAUUUGUUUUGUUUUGUUGGUUUGAUUGAUUGUUUUGUGUGUUUUAUGUGGUUUAUACAUUCGUAGUGUAAAAUUAGCCGAUAUUCUCCACCAAACGACCGUGGUUGAACCACGGGAUUGAGGGGUACCUAACACCUUCCAUUCGGUCAACAGAAUUCCUUAGCCGGAAUCUCUGUUCGUAAAUCAGUUUUAGAGUCAAAAUAGUUUUGAAAAAGGAUUUUCAAAGGUGACUUGGCAAUCCCGAUUAUGUCAAGUGGCGACUCUGAGUUAAUUAUAAAAUGAAUCCUUUUCAAAAUAAUUUUCAUCUUUUGGAACUUUAAUAAUAAAAACCCUUUUAAAACUUAAAAUUCAUAAUCUUUUUGGUUAAAAAGGGGUGUAGCAGCUCUGGCGACUCUGCUGGGGACUUUUCAGAAUUCGAGCUAAUUUUGGAGUUGUACCGGCUUUGUUCAACAUUAUGGGUGUAUAGACAUUGUUUGUGUUAUUGUUUGUAUUCAUUUUAUCAGUGUUGAGUGCCUACGUGCUCUUUGUUUAUAGUUUUACUUUAUGUGUUACCGCUUUAUAUCUGGCAUCAUGUGCAUAAUCCGAGUCAUUCUUUCUGCAACAAGUCUGUAGUACACGUGUUGUACACGACCUUUAGUUGAGUCACCCUUAUUUUAGGAGGGGGAGCCGUUGGUGUUAUGGAGUGGGUGGAAAGCUGUCACGGCCACUUCGACCAUAUGCACCCCCGAAUAGCCUUGUUAGUGAACCUCAACGUAGGUCAGCCUUUAGUUCAUGCUUAUCUACAUCAUAUUGAGACCUAACGGGACCCACGUGACCCUUCGUAGGAGACUCACCUCUAAAGCAUCUCUACGUGCUAAAUGUUGCAUCUCUAAGGAUAGUGUGGUCAUUUGACGGACUAAUUUGGGAAAAGCAUGUGUUAGAAGUAAGAUGUGUAGACAAGAAAGUGUUGAAAAAAAGUGAGAAAAAGAAAAGGGUGAGUCAAAAAAGAGUUUCGUAAGUUUUAGAGUUCUUUAUGGCUUUUGAUUUUUUUUUUCACAAUCCAAAAAUUCAAAAAGAUUUUUUUUACCUUUCGCACUCAUUUUCUCUUUUUAUUCCUUUACAAUGCAUUCAUAAUUCGAAAAUUUCAAAAGAUUUUGUUUCAAAUAGGAGCUUUUAUAAAAGGAAAAUUCAAAAAAGAUGGUAGAAGUUUUGUAUAUUUCAUAUCGAAAAUAUCAAAAGAAUUUUUCUUUCAUAGUUGUUGGUGUCAUUUUUGUGUGAAGUGUCAAAUUAAAACACAAAAAUAUUUUUCUUUCAUUGUCUGUUUGUAAUCGUGUCGCUCAAGUUAAGUUUUAGUUUGUUAUUUAAUCCUUAAUUGUCCAAUCUGAACGAACUACGCACCCCUGAUUCUCCUCUCUUAGGAGUGAGAUACGUAGGCAACCUAUUGUGGGUUCGGGGAUCUUAUUUCAAAAAUUCAAAAAAAAGAAAAGAUUUUCUUCACUUUUUUUUUAGAGUAGUGUCACAUACAUCUUUAAAGAAAACCACAAAAAGAUUUUUCUUUAAUAGGUUCAAGUGUCAUUUUCAUAUGAAAUUCAAAAUUGAAAUUCCAAAAAGAUUUUUCUUUGGUAAUCAUAGGUUUCAUUUUGUAUAGGAAUUUUAAACGUGAAAAAUGCAAAAAGAGUCUAUUCUUUUGAUAAUUUGUUAUUUUCUUCUCUUUUUAAAGUUUCAAGAAAAGAAAAAAAGAAAGGAAAAAAGUUUAAUUGGUCAUUUUGGCAAAACUUCACGAACUACGCACACCUGAUUCUCCUCUUUCGGGAGUGAGAUACGUAGGCGCCCUUCUUGGGUUCGGUGAUCUUUUCUAAAAGAAAAAAAAAGGUUUUGAAGAAAAUGUUGAACUCUAACAUAUUUGUUGCCUCUUGUUCAGUUAGUUUAAGGUGGUUGGUUUGUGGCAUCCUAGCUGGUCCUCCACAUCGCACCAAAUCUAAAGAAGGUUUAGCUGUGUUCAACAAAGAUACGAUGAGUGACCUCAUGGAUCAAACAAAGAGGCCGAAAAAUGAGAGUUUAAAGGAAGAGAAUUUGAGACUAAGACAACAAAUGAUGGAAAUGUAUCGAGCUUGGGCUAAUGGGCUACCUUCUCCUCCAUUCCCCACUAUUGAUCCUGCCAAUAUCUUGAGUUUUCCAUCACAAUUGCAAAAGUCAGUUCCCUAUUGUUGAUUGACGCACCACAACAUGCCUCGAAAUUCAUGCCACGUCAGCUACAUCUCAAUACAUCCACCACUCAUUCUCUAGCUCCUCGGGUCAUAGUGUUGAUGGUUGUAGUGCUUUGAAAAGAGAAAUGGAAAGGUUAAUUCAAGAAAAUUUGAUCGUAGUGCAAAACAUUGACACUACGAAAGUCACACAGAAUCCUUCACCCACACACGGUAAUGCAUGAUAUGAUAUGUGGGAAGUAAUGAGUCAAACACGGAGAUCCAAAACUUAUUUGUUGAAGAAAAUGUGUCUGACAGUGGUGGAAGCUCUAGUCAUGCUGAUAUAAAAACCAGUGGCUAAGUUGUCAGGCUGAGCAAUUGAGAAGUUACCCCUCUCCCUACUAGGAAGAGGUCUGGUAGUUUGUUUUGUUUUAUUUUCUGUUAUCCGAAUUAUUUUAGGGUUGUAGUUCAGGAUCUAUAUUAUUUUGUUUCUCUUUCGUCUUUGUUUAAACCCUUCUAUCUUUUCUUUCAAUGAAAUGUGGUGUCCCUUGUCGUUUUGUCUCAUUUUAAGUUAUUUGUUUGUUUUCUUUACAUAGUACAUUUUUAUGUUGGCUCUAGUGAUAUGACAUACUGAUGGAACUUUCAGCUAGAUCUUAAAAUCCAAUUUGAGUAUAAACUUUGAAUCAGAGGGCUAAAGUUAGAAAAAGCAUCCGAGAAAAUAUGUAGAGUGCUGAGACAUUUGGUGACAAGUUGAAACCUUUCUAAAAAAUUAAGGCAAUUGUUUUGAGAAUCACAAGAAUAACUUGGUCAUCAAUUGAAAGACAUGUCUCAAUUAGGUCAAAUAGUGGCUGCGUGAACAUAAUGAAAAUCAGCUCCAUAAAAUCAUGAGUCAUUCAAUGUGAGGAAUGUACAACAAAGGUGAAGUUUGCGAAAGAAGUAGUGACGCACAGACUCAGUCAAAGUUAAUGUUGUAAGAGGUGUCACAAUGAUCUUCAUCUUUCAUCUUCACUUGCAUGCUAUGUACUAGUAUUUUCAAGGAUUAAUAUGAUGAAGGCAUUUUAUUCUGUUAUCCAAACAUUGUGUCAUCCUUUAUUUAUCCCAUUUGAGCUUUAGUUCUAUUUUCUUUAAUACCUCUCUUUAAAAUCAAGAUAGAUUCAGUAAAACUCAAAAUAAAAAUGUCGAGAAAAAAAAAUAUGUCCAAAAGGAAAGAAAAGAGAAGAGUAUCAAAAAUAGGGUCAAAAAAAAAUCCCAAAGAGAAAAGAGAAAAAAAAAAAGAAGAAGAAACAAAAAUCAGAAUCAAUCAAAAGAACAAGCUGCCAGAACUAUGCGUGACCUGAUUCUCCUCUCUCAGGGGUGAGAUAUGUAGGCUGCCCUACUCUGGGCUCGGUCCAACCAAAUUAAUAAGUUAGAAUUGUCCAGUCAAAAGAAACUGGGGCAUGAGUUAAUCCUCAUUGUUUGAGUCAAUUCCAAAAGUUGUAAGUCUCACCCUACUUCAAGUGUCGUUUGGGCCUCUUGCCAUCUUUUCUUUAUAACCCUAUCUAAAAGCCAAGUUACAACCAAAGAAAGACCUUCAGAUCAAUCUUUGAGAAUUCUAAGGCUAAGCAUGCAAUGGAUGUGAUGUCGUAUUUUGGGAACUACUUGUCUUCCUUAGCAUAAGAAAUCAGAAGAGAAAUAAAAAUGAGAGAGUCUUAUCCGUAAAAACCCUCACAGGCAUCGUAAGAUGAUAGUAAGUUGAGAGAGAUAAAAUGAGAGAGUUUUAUCGAUGAAAACCCUCACGGGCACUGUAAGACGACGGUGAGUUGAGACAAAUAAAAAUGAGAAAGUCUUAUCGAUGAAAACCCUUACGGGCACCGUAAGACUACUGUGAGUUCAGAGAAAUGAAAAUUAGAGAAUCUCAUUAGUGAAAAAGCCUCACGGAUACCACAAGGCAAUGGUGACCCGAGAGAAAGAAAAUGAGAGAGGCUUGUUGGCGAAAACCCUUCAAGGUGUCACUAGCCGAAUGAGGUCUCUGAAUGCAAUUGACCCAAGAAAGAAACUCAAUUUCAGGGUCAUUAGCUCAACAACUAUUGGUGAAAGUUUGGAUGAAAAGAUCAUGCAGCUUAAUCCAAAUGCAUGGCAUAAUCAUUAGAUUUGAUUGUCAUUUUAGAUAAAUUUCCGUUUCUUUGUUUCAAAUGGGGACAUUCAUUGUCUUUUCUUUCUUCUCUUUAUUUUUAUUUUUAUUUUCUUGAGCCAGUUAUCCAAAUAAAAAAAAUCAUUGUCAUUUUUCUCGUGUCUUUAAGUCAAGUCCAUGACAAAAUAAGUGAGAAAAGAUUUCAAAACUGGCUAUGAAAGAGACAUGAUUGUGAGCCGAAUAAGGCAUGUAGAAAGUUUUUUCAAUAGACAAGCUUGGGAACUCAUGGAAAUACCAAGGUUUAAAGGGUUUAUCUGAGAAACAUGACAAAGCAGAGAUAUUGUGUUUAUUUCGGAGUCACUCUUAAUAAUCUGAGUUUGGGUCAAUGACACGACAAAGCAGGGGCAAGUGCCAGUAAUCUGAAAUAAAAUAAAAAGAAUGAACACUGGAGCAGGUGUCGGGACAGCCAAGUGCCUCCAGUCACCACUAAGUUUUUAACUGACAAAUUUUCUUUGUUGAAACAGGAGAAAAUAUGUUUCACUUAAUUUAGCUACCAUUAAAAAUGCACAUCAGUGAGAUUUUACUUUCUGCUCAGAACCCUCCUGAAAAAUGGGAUUUUACUUUUAUGUUCAGGACCCUCCUGAAAAAUAGGAUUUUACUUUCUGUUCAGGACCCUCCCAAAAAAUGGGACUUUAAUUUCUUUAUGUUCAGAACCCUUCUGGAAAAUGAGAUUUUACUUUAUGUUCAGGACCCUCCGAAAAAAUAGGAUUUUACUUUCUGUUCAGGACCCUCCUGGAAAAUGGGAUUUUACUUUCUGUUUAGGACCCUCCUGAAAAAUGAGAAUUUACUUUGUGUUCAGGACUCUUCUGGAAUAUGGGAUUUUAUAUUUUGUUCAGGACCCUUCUGAAAAGUGAGAUUCUACUUUUUGUUCGGGACCCUACUGAAAAAUGGGAUUUCACUUUCUGCUCAGGACCCUCCUGGAAAAUGGGAAUUUACUUUCUGUUCAGAACCCUUCUGGAAAAUGGGAUUUUACUUUCUGUUCAGGACACUCUUGAAAACUGGGAAUUUAUUCUGUUUAGGACCCUCCAGGAAAAUAGAAUUUUACUAUAUGUUCAGGACCCUUCUGAAAAAUGGGAUUUUACUUUCUGUUUAGGACCCUCCUAAAAAAUGAGAUUUUACUUUCUGUUCAGGACCCUCCUGAAAAAUGAGAUUUUACUUUCUAUUCAGGACCCUCCUGAGAAAUGGGAUUUUACUUUCUUUUUAGGACCCUCUUGAAAAAUGGGAAUUUGCUUUGUGUUCAGAACCCUCCUGAAAAAUUGGAAUUUACUUUGUGUUCAGGACCCUCCUGGAAAAUGGGAUUUUACUUUCUGUUCAGGACCCUCCUGAAAAAAAUAGGAAUUUACUUUGUGUUCAGGACCCUCCUGGAAAAUGGGAUUUUACUUUCUGUUCAAGACCCUCCUGAAAAAUGGGAUUUUACUUUCUGUUCAGGACCCUCAUGCAAAAUGAGAUUUUACUAUUUGUUCAGGACCCUCCUGAAAAAUGGAAUUUUACUUUCUGUUCAGGAUCCUUCUGAAAAAUUGGACUUUACUUUUUUUUUAGGACCCUGCUGAAAAAUAGGAUUUUACUUUAUGUUUAGGACCGUCCUGGAAAAUGAGAUUUUACUUUCUGUUCAGGACCCUCCUGAAAAAUAGGACUUUACUUUCUGUUCUGGGCCCUUUUGGAAAAUGGGAUUUUACAUUAUGUUCAGAACCCUUCAGGAAAAUUGGAUUUUACUUUAUGUUUAGGACCCUCCUAGAAAAUGGGAUUUUACUUUCUGUUCAAGACCCUCCUGAAAAAUGAGAAUUUACUUUGUGUUUAGGACCCUUCUGGAAAAUGGGAUUUUACUUUUUGUUUAGGACCCUCCUGAAAAAUGAGAUUAUACUUUCUGUUCAGGACCCUCCUGAAAAAUGAAAUUUUACUUUCUGUUCAGGACCUUCCAGGAAAAUGGGAAUUUACUUUCUGUUCAGGACGCUUCUGGAAAAUGGGAUUUUACUUUCCGUUCAGGUCCCUCCUGGAAACUGGGAAUUUAUUCUGUUCAGGACCCUCCUGAAAAAUAGAAUUUUACUUUAUAUUCAGGUCCCUCCUGAAAAAUGGGAUUUUACUUUCUAUUCAGGAUCCUCCUGGAAAAUGAGAUUUUACUUUCUGUUUAGGACCCUCCUGAAAAAUGGGAUUUUAAUUUCUGUUCAUGACCCUCCUGAAAAAUGGGAUUUUACUUUCUGUUCAGGACCCUCCUUGAAAAUGGGACUUUACUUUCUAUUCAGGAUCUUCUGAAAAAUGAGAUUUUACUUUAUGUUCAGGACCCUUCUGGAAAAUGGAAUUUUACUUUUACUUUAUGUUCAGGACCCUCCUAGAAAAUGAGAUUUUACUUUUUAUCUCCUGAAAAAUGUUAUUUUACUUUUUGUUUAGGACCCUCCUAUAAAAAUGGGAUUUUACUUUCUGUUUAGGACCCUCCUAAAAAAUGAGAUUUUACUUUCUAUUCAGGACCCUCCUGAAAAAUGAGAAUUUAUUUUCUGUUCAGGACCCUCCUGAAAAAAAUAGGAAUUUACUUUGUGUUCAGGACCCUCCUGGAAAAUGGGAUUUUACUUUCUGUUCAAGACCCUCCUGAAAAAUGGGAUUUUACUUUCUCUCCUGGAAAAUGGGAAUUUAUUUUCUGCUCAGGGAAUUUACUUUCUGCUCAGGGCCCUCCUGGAAAAUGGGAUUUUACUUUCUGUUCAGGACCCUCCUGAAAAAUGGGAUUUUACUUUCUGUUCAGAACCCUCCUGGAAAAUGGGAUUUUACUUUCUAUCAGGGCCUCCUGAAAAUAGGAUUUACUUUCUGUUCAGGACCCUCCUGAAAAAUGGGAUUUUACUUUUUGAUCAGGACCCUCCUAAAAAAUGGGAUUUGCUUUCUGUUCAGGACCCUCCUGAAAAAUGAGAUUUUACUUUCUAUUCAAGACCCUCCUGAAAAAUGGGACGUUACUUUCAAAAAUGAAAUCUUUCUUUAUCAUAAUCUUUAUUUGUGAUAAUUGUCGUUCUAGUUUUUUUUUUUAUUUCAGGAGUCUGCCUUAAGAACAGGGUGAUAAAGCUGUAAGUCAGGUGCCCGCCUGAAUAACUGGGUGAUGAAAUCGGAAGUUGAUGAAAUCAAAAGUCAGGAUCCCACCUGAAGAGCAGGGCAAAUAUGUUGAAAGUCAAACAACAAGUUGAAGAAAUUUCAACUCAGGAGCCCGCCUGAAGAAUAAGGUGAUGAAACUCUAGUCAAGAGUCCAAAAGAAGCUGCAUAGAUAUGAUUUUUGUAAUUUUAUUUAUGUUUUAACUUAUAAUUUUCAUUUUUGAUUUAAUAACAGAGCCGCAGACCAGAACCUCGACGGGUCGUCACUUGACUCUCCAACUCGGUAUAGUCCUUCUCCUUCCUUUGGAGAUACCUGUGACUUGAUUCCCUCAUAACUAAGGAUGAGUAUGAUGUCCAAAGUCAAGACUCGGUUGCCCUCCUUCCUUGUGUUCCUUUCUUCUGAAUAAUGGUCGGUCAAAAUUUUGUCUCGUUAUCUACUUCUUUGUCUGAAAAUACUUUGCAUUUACAUCCAAAGAGGAGCAUAAUGUAGACACAUAAUUUUGUCUGCCCAAAAAUUAAUUUUUACUCAUUUUUCACAUCUCCCUACCCUACCCCUACCUUACCCUACCCCCACCUAAUCCUACCUACUUUCUUACACACCCACCGAACACUCAUCCUCACCAUUGACCAAAAAAUAAUACAGAUACAUGCCAUUUUCUUUGAUCUUGUUCGCAACACACACAGCGCACCAAGAACACACACUACUGAUUCACGAGA